GGAGGAGGACCUAAGUGGACCCGGAGGCUGAGCUGGCCUCGCAGCACUGGUGGUGGGGGAGGGCUGAUGGUCAGGACUCUGGGUCUUUGGCACUGCUGCCUAGGCCGUGGCCCUCAGUCUGCCCAUCUGUGAAAUGAGGGGGAGCUGGUCCUGACUGCCUCCCAGGGACCCUGUGAAAAGCCGCUCUGAACUCCUUGCCAGAGAGGAGGUUUGCCGGUGCCACAAUCCAGCAUUUCUGGGGUUCACUCUGCUCUGGGUACUGUGUAAAGGACUCCACAGCCAUCAACUUCCCUUCAUCCUUGCCGUGUCUUUGAAAGAGCUGAGAUUUCUUUACAUCACAGUGGUUCAAGGAGAAAAACACAGCCAGAUCCUUCCUCAUCUCAACAUAAAUUAAACCCAGAGGCAGUCAGCGCCACAGUCCACACUCGUAACCGUUACACUCACCUGGAAAUAAAAGUAUUUUUGUGCGGGGACUGCAAGGACUAAGCCCGGCCGCACUCCGAGUUUCUCCUCCUCACAGACUGGAUGAUGAGAGGCACAGCUGAGUCCGGAGCAGACUGAGCCACCUAAGAGGGGAGGAACCGCUGCAGAGAAACCGUGUUAAGCCUUUUUGAAGUUCCAGAGGGAGAACAAGAGAGCGGAGGCUCCUGGUGGCUGGUGACAGGUGCUGAUUUGUUCUGGGGAAAGAGCACAGAAAAGUGCCUGGAGAGGAGGCGGGGCCAAAAUGGGAUGUAGGCGAUGGGAAGGACCCUCAAGACACAGUCCUGGGCUCCCAGGCAGGACCAACCCCCAAACCUGUCCCCCCAGGAGCCUGCAGAGCCACUGCCCUGACAGGGGACACCUCACUUCCUCUCCUUGCAGCUGCUCUUGGCUGGGAGAGCAGAGAACAGGGGACAGGAGAGAAGCCCCGAGAGUACUGAAGCUGAGGCUGGGGCGGUCUUCACUUCCCUCUUUCCUCGGCCCUUUUCCUGUUCUCUUGUCUUGUCUCUCUUUCUCUACUUUCCUUCUCCCUAGCCCAGUCUCUCACCGCUCUUCAGCCUCUGGGCCUUUCCUUCUUCCUCUCUUGCCCUCAUUCUUCCUUCUCUGUCCCUCUUGUCUUCUCUUUUACCUCUUCUCUUCUUCCCUCCUUCCUACAGCUAUGCCCUCUUCCCUCCUUUCUCUUGUCCCCAACCAGGGCAUUAGAAAUGCAUUCCAGUUACACUGAUCUGAUCACUGCAUAUUGUAUGCAUGCAUCAAAAUAUCACAUGUACCCCAGAAAUAUGUAAAUUACUGCAUAUCAAUAAAAAGAAAUGUAGCUUCUUUGCCUCACAUACAGAAAA
rnacentral:lncRNA from 1 species